CCUACGGGAGGCAGCAGUGAGGAAUAUUGGUCAAUGGGCGCGAGCCUGAACCAGCCAAGUAGCGUGAAGGAUGACUGCCCUACGGGUUGUAAACUUCUUUUCUCAGGGACGAAGCAAGUGACGGUACCUGAGGAAUAAGCCACGGCUAACUACGUGCCAGCAGCCGCGGUAAUACGUAGGUGGCAAGCGUUAUCCGGAUUUACUGGGUGUAAAGGGCGUGUAGGCGGGAAAGCAAGUCAGAUGUGAAGACCAUGGGCUCAACCUGUGGCCUGCAUUUGAAACUGUUUUUCUUGAGUACUGGAGAGGCAGACGGAAUUCCUAGUGUAGCGGUGAAAUGCGUAGAUAUUAGGAGGAACACCAAUGGCGAAGGCGGUCUGCUGGACAGCAACUGACGCUGAGGCGCGAAAGCGUGGGGAGCAAACAGGAUUAGAUACCCUAGUAGUC
rnacentral:rRNA from 1 species